rnacentral:lncRNA from 1 species
UCAAUCCCCAGUGCUAUAAGGAGAAGACGGAGAAAAAGCAGUAACUAAACUUAACAAAGGAAGAAAAUGUUCAUCAGCACUCUGAAAAAACUAUCUUUCCAGGGCAUGGAAGAUCUGUUUUAACUCACAGGGUGAACUGCUGCUGUCCACACGGAGUGGAGGAAGGCAAGGCAAGGCCUAGGUGCUCAGUCAGUCAGCAGAGCAAACUUGGUGUACUCUGAAGACCCGUGAGGCUCGACAUGACAGCCACCUCAUGCUUGGAUUCCCGCUGCUUUCAGAGACAGGGUCUUAUGAGGCCAGGCUGACCUUAAACUCACUGUGUAACUGAGGAUGACACUGAAUUCUUGAUCCUCCUGUUUUCCUCCCACAAGAGCUGAGAUUAGAGGCCUGUGCCAUCACACCCAGCAAAAAUGUAUUCCUGGAACUCAAAGGUGAAUAAAAACAAGCACACUGGUCUUGUUAUUCU